CCUACGGGUGGCAGCAGUGGGGAAUAUUGGGCAAUGGGCGCAAGCCUGACCCAGCAACGCCGCGUGAAGGAAGAAGGCUUUCGGGUUUUAAACUUCUUUUCUGAGGGACGAAGAAAGUGACGGUACCUCAGGAAUAAGCCACGGCUAACUACGGGCCAGCAGCCGCGGUAAUACGUAGGUGGCAAGCGUUAUCCGGAUUUAUUGGGUGUAAAGGGCGGUUAGGCGGGAAAGCAAGGCAGAUGUGAAAACUCAGGGCUCAAACCUGAGCCUGCAUUUGAAACUGUUUUUCUUGAGUGCUUGAUGGGGAAGCGGAAUUCCGUGUGUAGCGGUGAAAUGCGUAGGAAUACGGAGGAAAACCAGUGGCGAAGG
rnacentral:rRNA from 1 species